rnacentral:rRNA from 1 species
CCUACGGGUGGCAGCAGUGAGGAAUAUUGGUCAAUGGGCGAGAGUCUGAACCAGCCAAGCCGCGUGAAGGAUGAAGGAUCUAUGGUUUGUAAACUUCUUUUAUAUGGGAGUAAAUUCCGGUACGUGUUCCUUUUUGUAUGUACCAUAUGAAUAAGCAUCGGCUAACUCCGUGCCAGCAGCCGCGGUAAUACGGAGGAUUCAAGCGUUAUCCGGAUUUAUUGGGUUUAAAGGGUGCGUAGGCGGUUAAUUAAGUCAGAGGUGAAAGCUCGUGGCUCAACCCCGGAAUUGCCUUUGAAACUGGUUGACUAGAGUUUAGUUGCGGUAGGCGGAAUGUAUGGUGUAGCGGUGAAAUGCAUAGAGAUCAUACAGAACUCCGAUUGCGAAGGCAGCUUACUAAACUAUGACUGACGCUGAGGCACGAAAGCGUGGGGAGCAAACAGGAUUAGAUACCCCUGUAGUC